rnacentral:rRNA from 1 species
UACGAAGGGUGCAAGCGUUGUUCGGAUUUAUUGGGCGUAAAGCGCGCGCAGGCGGGUGAUUAAGUCAGGUGUGAAAUCUCAGGGCUCAACCCUGAAACUGCGCCUGAAACUGGUUAUCUAGAAUAUCGGAGAGGGAAGGGGAAUUUCGCAUGUAGGGGUAAAAUCCGUAGAUAUGCGAAGGAAUACCAGAGGCGAAGGCGCCUUCCUGGACGAUUAUUGACGCUGAGGCGCGAAAGCGUGGGGAGCAAACAGGAUUAGAUACCCUGGUAGUCCACGCCGUAAACGAUGAGAACUAGAUAUUAUGGGAAUUGACCCCUGUAGUGUCGCAGCUAACGCAUUAAGUUCUCCGCCUGGGGAGUACGGUCGCAAGAUUA